CUGAGGUCCUUCACGAUCUUCCUGGCCUUGGUCCAGCACCGCCGGGAAAUUUGACCAAAGCAGGGUCAGGAACGUACCCACUGUUCUCUCUGCUCCCCGGCUAUAGAGGACACCCGGCCUUUUCCACCAUGGUUUCAAAACUCUGCAGCCAAACACCGGCCAUGCCCCGCUGUCAGCUGUCACACACUAUUCUCACUGAGAAAAACUGGUUUCACUAUGCAGCUCGUAUCUGGGAUGGUGUGAAAAAGUCCUCUGCCCUCUCUGAAUACAGUCGUCUGCUCUGCUGACACGUGUUUAACUGCUCUUAUGUACAGUUUUAUUUCACUGAUCAGAUCACACAAAGACGAAAGAAGUGCAGCUGAAUGGGAUGUUUGAAAAAAACAUCAAAGGGGCAUAAAAUAAAUAUAAUUAUUCAGA